rnacentral:tRNA from 1 species
UUGUCGGUAGUGAAAAUGCGGUAUUGUUUGCAUUAAACGAGGACACGGGCGAAGUACUCUGGCAAGUUGAAACUGACGGUGAAGUGAUCGCAAGUCCUGUGGUUGAUGAAGGUCUGGUUAUCAUCCAGACUGGCAGU